rnacentral:rRNA from 1 species
CUACGGGUUGCUCCAGUGGGGAAUAUUGGACAAUGGGGGAAACCCUGAUCCAGCAAUGCCGCGUGUGUGAAGAAGGCCUGCGGGUUGUAAAGCACUUUCGGUUGGGAGGACUGCUUCUAGCACUAAUAUUGUUGGAAGUUGAUGUUACCUUCAGAAGAAGCACCGGCUAACUCCGUGCCAGCAGCUGCGGUAAUACGGAGGGUGCAUGCGUUAAUCGGAAUUACUGGGCGUAAAGCGCGCGUAGGCGGCUAGAUCAGUCGGGUGCGAAAGCCCCGGGCUUAACCUGGGAACUGCAUCCGAUACUGUCUAGCUUGAGUACAGGAGAGGGGAGUGGAAUUCCACAUGUAGCGGUGAAAUGCGUAGAUAUGUGGAGGAACACCAAUGGCGAAGGCAGCUCUCUGGCCUGAUACUGACGCUGAGGUGCGAAAGCGUGGGGAGCAAACAGGAUUAGAUACCCGGGUAGUC